rnacentral:rRNA from 1 species
GGUUAAGCGAACAAGCGUACACGGUGGAUGCCCUGGCAGUCAGAGGCGAUGAAGGACGUGCUAAUCUGCGAAAAGCGCCGGUAAGGUGAUAUGAACCGUUAUAACCGGCGAUGUCCGAAUGGGGAAACCCGGUGCACUUCGGUGCAUCAUCGUUAGCUGAAUACAUAGGCUAACGAGGCGAACCGGGGGAACUGAAACAUCUAAGUACCCCGAGGAAAAGAAAUCAACCGAGAUUCCCCCAGUAGCGGCGAGCGAACGGGGAACAGCCCAGAGCCUGAAUCAGCUUGUGUGUCAGUGGAACGGUCUGGAAAGGCCGGCGAUACAGGGUGACAGCCCCGUACACGAAGGCACACAGGCUGUGAGCUCGAUGAGUAGGGCGGGACACGUGAUAUCCUGUCUGAAGAUGGGGGGACCAUCCUCCAAGGCUAAAUACUCCUGACUGACCGAUAGUGAACCAGUACCGUGAGGGAAAGGCGAAAAGAACCCCGGCGAGGGGAGUGAAACAGAACCUGAAACCGUGUACGUACAAGCAGUGGGAGCCUUCGUAAGAGGGUGACUGCGUACCUUUUGUAUAAUGGGUCAGCGACUUAUAUUCUGUAGCAAGGUUAACCGUAUAGGGGAGCCGAAGGGAAACCGAGUCUUAACCGGGCGUUAAGUUGCAGGGUAUAGACCCGAAACCCGGUGAUCUAGCCAUGGGCAGGUUGAAGGUUGGGUAACACUAACUGGAGGACCGAACCGACUAAUGUUGAAAAAUUAGCGGAUGACCUGUGGCUGGGGGUGAAAGGCCAAUCAAACCGGGAGAUAGCUGGUUCUCCCCGAAAGCUAUUUAGGUAGCGCCUCGUGAACUCAUCUCCGGGGGUAGAGCACUGUUUCGGCUAGGGGGCCAUCCCGGCUUACCAACCCGAUGCAAACUGCGAAUACCGGAGAAUGUUAUCACGGGAGACACACGGCGGGUGCUAACGUCCGUCGUGAAGAGGGAAACAACCCAGACCGCCAGCUAAGGUCCCAAAGUCAUGGUUAAGUGGGAAACGAUGUGGGAAGGCCCAGACAGCCAGGAUGUUGGCUUAGAAGCAGCCAUCAUUUAAAGAAAGCGUAAUAGCUCACUGGUCGAGUCGGCCUGCGCGGAAGAUGUAACGGGGCUAAACCAUGCACCGAAGCUGCGGCAGCGACACUCUGUGUUGUUGGGUAGGGGAGCGUUCUGUAAGCCUGCGAAGGUGUGCUGUGAGGCAUGCUGGAGGUAUCAGAAGUGCGAAUGCUGACAUAAGUAACGAUAAAGCGGGUGAAAAGCCCGCUCGCCGGAAGACCAAGGGUUCCUGUCCAACGUUAAUCGGGGCAGGGUGAGUCGACGACCCUAAGGCGAGGCCGAAAGGCGUAGUCGAUGGGAAACAGGUUAAUAUUCCUGUACUUGGUGUUACUGCGAAGGGGGGACGGAGAAGGCUAUGUCGGCCGGGCGACGGUUGUCCCGGUUUAAGCGUGUAGGCUGACUUUCCAGGCAAAUCCGGAAAGUUAAGGCUGAGGCGUGAUGACGAGGCACCACGGUGCUGAAGUGACAAAUGCCCUGCUUCCAGGAAAAGCCUCUAAGCAUCAGGUAACAUCAAAUCGUACCCCAAACCGACACAGGUGGUCAGGUAGAGAAUACCAAGGCGCUUGAGAGAACUCGGGUGAAGGAACUAGGCAAAAUGGUGCCGUAACUUCGGGAGAAGGCACGCUGACAUGUAGGUGAAGCCCCUGCGGGUGGAGCUGAAGUCAGUCGAAGAUACCAGCUGGCUGCAACUGUUUAUUAAAAACACAGCACUGUGCAAACACGAAAGUGGACGUAUACGGUGUGACGCCUGCCCGGUGCCGGAAGGUUAAUUGAUGGGGUUAUCGCAAGAGAAGCUCCUGAUCGAAGCCCCGGUAAACGGCGGCCGUAACUAUAACGGUCCUAAGGUAGCGAAAUUCCUUGUCGGGUAAGUUCCGACCUGCACGAAUGGCGUAAUGAUGGCCAGGCUGUCUCCACCCGAGACUCAGUGAAAUUGAACUCGCUGUGAAGAUGCAGUGUACCCGCGGCAAGACGGAAAGACCCCGUGAACCUUUACUACAGCUUGACACUGAACAUUGAGCCUUGAUGUGUAGGAUAGGUGGGAGGCUUUGAAGCGUGGACGCCAGUCUGCGUGGAGCCGACCUUGAAAUACCACCCUUUAAUGUUUGAUGUUCUAACCUGGCGCCGUAAUCCGGCGUGGGGACAGUGUCUGGUGGGUAGUUUGACUGGGGCGGUCUCCUCCCAAAGUGUAACGGAGGAGCACGAAGGUCAGCUAAUCCUGGUCGGACAUCAGGAGGUUAGUGCAAUGGCAUAAGCUGGCUUGACUGCGAGAGUGACGGCUCGAGCAGGUGCGAAAGCAGGUCAUAGUGAUCCGGUGGUUCUGUAUGGAAGGGCCAUCGCUCAACGGAUAAAAGGUACUCCGGGGAUAACAGGCUGAUACCGCCCAAGAGUUCAUAUCGACGGCGGUGUUUGGCACCUCGAUGUCGGCUCAUCACAUCCUGGGGCUGAAGUAGGUCCCAAGGGUAUGGCUGUUCGCCAUUUAAAGUGGUACGCGAGCUGGGUUUAGAACGUCGUGAGACAGUUCGGUCCCUAUCUGCCGUGGGCGCUGGAGAAUUGAGGGGGGCUGCUCCCAGUACGAGAGGACCGGAGUGGACGCAUCACUGGUGUUCGGGUUGUCAUGCCAAUGGCACUGCCCGGUAGCUAAAUGCGGAAGAGAUAAGUGCUGAAAGCAUCUAAGCACGAAACUUGCCCCGAGAUGAGUUCUCCCUGAGACUAUAAGUCUCCUGAAGGAACGUUGAAGACGACGACGUUGAUAGGCCGGGUGUGUAAGCGCAGCGAUGCGUUGAGCUAACCGGUACUAAUGAACCGUGAGGCUUAACCUU